CCGCUAUAACGGUUUUGAGCGUGGUUUUAAGAGGAAGCACAAGGCGUGACGCCUGCCCGGUGCUCGAAGGUUAAGAGGAUGAGUCAUUCAGCAAUGAUGAAGCUUUGAAUUGAAGUCCGAGUAAACGGCGGCCGUAACUAUAACGGUCCUAAGGUAGCGAAAUUCCUUGUCGGUUAAAUACCGACCUGCAUGAAUGGCGUAACGAG
rnacentral:ncRNA from 1 species